UCCUGAGGCCUAUCAUGUUGGAGGGGUGGAUCUUAAGAUGUACAUCAGGGUAAGGCACACUGCUAGCACACUAGAUGGAGAGUAUUGGUGUCCUGGUUCCCACAGGUGUCUGUGUAUCUAGGAAGCAGGAGAAAGAAAUGGCACCCACGAGUUCCUUUGUUCUUGAGAAAGUCUCCCAAUGAUCCCCCCACCCCCAGCACAUGCUCUAAGAGAGGACAAAAAAGUGCAAGAAGACCAUGGGCUUUGGGGCCAGACUGCCUGGAGUUGAAUCUGAGUUCCUCUUUAAAAACUGUUUGAACUUAGAUACCCACAAACAAUUUGCUGGAGUGGUAGAAUGAAAAUGGAUUAUUUCUGGAAAAAUACAAUGGAAAUGGAGAUUGCUACCCAUUUUAAAGAUUACCUCUUCAA